ACCUUAAUAAGCAUUUCGGGCAAAAGAAGGGCCAAAUUAGAUGAAACGCGGAAAAGGGUGAAAAGUCGAAGUUUCUCAUACAAAAUCCAGGGGGAUGUUAGGCCACCCGUAAGGGAUAUUAUGAUCCGUAACAAUAAGGCGCCCCAGACUUCCCAAUUUUGA